rnacentral:rRNA from 1 species
UACGAAGGGGGCUAGCGUUGCUCGGAAUCACUGGGCGUAAAGGGUGCGUAGGCGGUUGUGUGCGUCGGCGCUGAAAUCACGAGGCUUAACUUCGUGGCGCGUGCCGAUACGACACGACUUGAGGCUCUGAGAGGGUGGCGGAACCUCCUGGUGUAGCGGUGAAAUGCGCAGAUAUCAGGAGGAACACCGGUGGCGAAGGCGGUCUCUGGCCGAUACUGACGCUGAGGAGCGAAAGCGUGGGAGCGAACAGG